rnacentral:lncRNA from 1 species
GUCUGUGAGUAUAACAGAACUCAUAUGGCAGGCAAAAACCUGAGAAGAUUCCUUACAGGAAGUGCCCUCUCUGACCAUGUGGGGGGCUGUAAUAGGUGGUGACAUGACAGUGUGUUAUCAGAGGACUGAGACCAGAUGGGGGGUGUAAUAGGUGGUGAUAUGACAGUGUGUUAUCAGAGGCCUGAGACCAGAUGGGGGGGUGUAAUAGGUGGUAACAUGACAGUGUGUUAUCAGAGGACUGAGACCAGAUGGGGGGGUGUAAUAGGUGGUGACAUGACAGUGUGUUAUCAGAGGACUGAGACCAGAUGGGGGGUGUAAUAGGUGGUGACAUGACAGUGUGUUAUCAGAGGACUGAGACCAGAUGGGGGGUGUAAUAGGUGGUGACAUGACAGUGUGUUAUCAGAGGCCUGAGACCAGAUGGGGGGUGUAAUAGGUGG